UAGAGUCGAUUCAAAUGUAGGCAAACUCUUCCAGUGUUAUUUGCAUAACAAUAAGCCGCGCUGAUCUCUGACACUCCCACCCGAGCAGCGUUUCUGGAAUCGAGCAGGAUCACAAGACGCCAACAAUGACGCAACAUCACCUCACAGCAAGAUCUCAUGUGUCCAAACUCCAAACAGUCCUUAUGAGCUUUUCUCUUGCCUUUCAAUGGCCGUGGCGCUCUACAAGUCUCAACUUCACCUGUUGAGCCAGAUCUGUUGUUUUAUUCCACCUGCCAAGGAUUAUGCUAUAUGAGGACUUUCAGCGU